GCCAGCCCGCUCAGAAACUACAAAGGAAUUGACGGGGCCCGCACAAGCGGUGGAGUAUGUGGUUUAAUUCGAUGCAACGCGAAGAACCUUACCUGGUCUUGACAUCCCGGAGACCCUUAGGAAACUAGGGGUGCUUCCAUCUGGAAGAAUCUGGAGACAGGUGCUGCAUGGCUGUCGUCAGCUCGUGUCGUGAGAUGUUGGGUUAAGUCCCGCAACGAGCGCAACCCUUGCCUUUAGUUGCCAGCAGUUCGGCUGGGCACUCUAAAGGGACUGCCGGUGUUAAACCGGAGGAAGGUGGGGAUGACGUCAAGUCCUCAUGGCCUUUAUGACCAGGGCUACACACGUACUACAAUGGCCGAUACAAAGGGCAGCGACACUGCGAGGUGAAGCCAAUCCCGUAAAAUCGGUCUCAGUCCGGAUUGGAGUCUGCAACUCGACUCCAUGAAGUUGGAAUCGCUAGUAAUCGUGGAUCAGCAUGCCACGGUGAAUACGUUCCCGGGCCUU
rnacentral:rRNA from 1 species